rnacentral:rRNA from 1 species
UAAAACUCAAAGGAAUUGACGGGGCCCCGCACAAGCAGCGGAGCAUGCGGCUUAAUUCGACGCAACGCGAAGAACCUUACCAAGGCUUGACAUAUACAGGAAUACGGCAGAGAUGUCGUAGCGGUAAAACGUCUGUAUACAGGUGGUGCAUGGUUGUCGUCAGCUCGUGUCGUGAGAUGUUGGGUUAAGUCCCGCAACGAGCGCAACCCUCGUUCUGUGUUGCCAGCAUUUAGUUGGGGACUCACAGGAGACUGCCGGGGUUAACUCGGAGGAAGGUGGGGAUGACGUCAAAUCAUCAUGCCCCUUAUGUCUUGGGCUGCACGCAUGCUACAAUGGCUGGUACAAACGGCUGCGAUACCGCAAGGUGGAGCGAAUCCGAUAAAGCCAGUCUCAGUUCGGAUUGGGGUCUGCAACUCGACCCCAUGAAGUCGGAGUUGCUAGUAAUCGUAGAUCAGCAACGCUACGGUGAAUACGUUCCCGGGGCUUGUACACACCGCCCGUCACAUCACGAAAGUCGGUAACACCCAAAGUCAGUGGCCCAACCGCAAGGAGGGAGCUGCCAAAGGUGGGAUCGGUGAUUGGGAUGAAGUCGUAACAAGGUAC